rnacentral:tRNA from 1 species
GCUCCGGUAGUCUAGUGGUUAGGACGCCUCUCUUUCACAGAGGAGAUCGCGGGUUCGAGUCCCGUCCGGAGUACCA